UCAGGUGGCCGCAGAGAAUAGGCCCAAGCGACUGUUUACCAAAAACAUAGGGUUCUGCUAAGUCGCAAGACGAUGUAUAGGAGCUGACGCCUGCCCGGUGCUGGAAGGUUAAGGGGAUCUGUUAGAGUAAUCGAAGCAGUGAACUUAAGCCCCAGUAAACGGCGGCCGUAACUAUAACGGUCCUAAGGUAGCGAAAUGCCUUGUCGGGUAAGUUCCGACCCGCACGAAAGGCGUAACGAUUUGGGCACUGUCUCA
rnacentral:rRNA from 1 species